AGAGGGUGCAAGCGUUAAUCGGAAUUACUGGGCGUAAAGGGUGCGUAGGUGGUAUGUUAAGUCAGAUGUGAAAGCCCUGGGCUCAACCUUGGAACUGCAUUUGAAACUAGCAAACUAGAGUAUGGUAGAGGGAAGUGGAAUUUCCGGUGUAGCAGUGAAAUGCGUAGAUAUCGGAAGGAACACCAGUGGCGAAGGCGACUUCCUGGACCAUAACUGACGCUGAGGCACGAAAGCGUGGGGGAGCAAACAGGAUUAGAUACCCUGGUAGUCCACGCUGUAAACGAUGAGAACUAGAUGUUAGGGUGCUUGCACUUUAGUAUCGUAGCUAACGCGUUAAGUUCUCCGUCUGGGAGUACGGCCGCAAGGUUA
rnacentral:rRNA from 1 species